rnacentral:rRNA from 1 species
GCAGUAGCCGCGGGAACACGUAGGUGGCAAGCGCUGUCCGGAAUUAUUGGGCGUAAAGCGCGCGCAGGCGGAUAGGUCAGUCUGUCUUAAAAGUUCGGGGCUUAACCCCGUGAUGGGAUGGAAACUGCCAAUCUAGAGUAUCGGAGAGGAAAGUGGAAUUCCUAGUGUAGCGGUGAAAUGCGUAGAUAUUAGGAAGAACACCAGUGGCGAAGGCGACUUUCUGGACGAAAACUGACGCUGAGGCGCGAAAGCCAGGGGAGCGAACGGGAUUAGAUACCCCUGUAGUCCCUGUCUCUUAUACA